UACGGAGGGUGCGAGCGUUGUCCGGAAUCAUUGGGCGUAAAGGGUGCGUAGGCGGCGCGGUAAGUCGGGUGUGAAAUCUCGGAGCUUAACUCCGAAACUGCAUUCGAUACUGCCGUGCUUGAGGACUGGAGAGGAGACUGGAAUUUACGGUGUAGCGGUGAAAUGCGUAGAUAUCGUAAGGAAGACCAGUGGCGAAGGCGG
rnacentral:rRNA from 1 species